rnacentral:rRNA from 1 species
AAUAGCCUAGCGGCUGAACUGGCAACUUGGAGAAGUGGCAAGUCUUAUUUUGAUCUUAUCUUUGAGUAUGAUCUAUAAGAUUGUAUUAAAAUUGAAUAAAACUUUGUUUAUAUAUUGAUAAUGACAGUAUAUAUAUCGUGUCUUGACUAAUUGCGUGCCAGCAGUCGCGGUAAUACGUAAGAGACUAGUGUUAUUCAUCUUAAUUAGGUUUAAAGGGUACCUAGACGGUCAAUAUAGCUUCUAGAAUGUUAGUACUUGACUAGAGUUUUAUAUAAGAGGGCAGUACUUGAGGAGGAGAGAUGAAAUUCUAUGAUACCAAAGGGACUCGGUAAAGGCGAAGGCAGCCCUUUAUGUAAAAACUGACGUUGAAGGACGAAGGCACAGAGAACAACAGGAUUAGAUACCCAAGUAGUCUUUGCAGUAAAUGAUGAAUGCCAUAGGUUAGGUUAAGAUUUAAUGUUUUAGUGUAAACUAAAAUUAAGCACUAUUUAGUCUAUAAAUGAAAGUGUAAGCAUUUCACCUCAAGAGUAAUGUGGCAACGCAGGAACUGGAAUCACUAGACCGUUUCUGACACCAGUAGUGAAGUAUGUUGUUUAAUUCGAUGAUCCACGAAAAACCUUACCACAAUUUGUAUAAUUUAAUUACAGGAGUUGCACGGCUGUUUUCAGUUAAUGUUGUGAAACUGUGGUUUCCAUGAAAUUGACGCAAUCCUCGGCUUUA